rnacentral:pre_miRNA from 1 species
UUAUCUUUGUGCUUUCAGCUUCUUUACAGUGCUGCCUUGUUGCGUUCAUGUCAAGCAGCAUUGUACAGGGCUAUGAAAGAGCAGAGACGA